rnacentral:lncRNA from 1 species
CUCUAGUCUAGGCGCACGAAGGGAGUUGCUCCUAGGUCUUGUCCGUGCCGGGUUCGCUUUUCUUUCCUUCCCGAAGCCUGGCCCUUAGAUCUACUAUCGCAGAGUCUGCGGCCGCCAGGAAGCCCAGAUUCGAGUGUCCGGAGAGUAACCGGAAGUGCUGUCCCCAGGCCUAGGGGCGGCGCCGGCGGCUGCCAGGGAGAGGCAAGAAUUGAGUGUUGUGAAUAGUUCUGAACUAGAGACCUUUUGAAACCAAAAGGAAGAUGGUCUUGAGUCUUUCUUGUUACGAAUGCUAUCUUCUUUGAGAAGUCAAAUAGUCAGGAUCAGGAAUGUAUGUUUUCUUCCAUCUGGAUUCUAGGGUUGGAAAUACCAAGUAAGGAAUUAACAUAUAUGAUGCUGGAAACUUGUAGAGGCUCAUGAUUGAAAGGCCUGAAACAGAUGUAUCUUCCAAGUUCUUAUCAAGAAAAUGACUGUGAGGGCAACGAUGGGUCAAGAAGACCAGCGGAAAACUCCCUAGGAGAGAGCCAUAGAAAAUGUACACUUCAGAAGAGAAAUGUAAUCAGAGAACUCAAAAAAGGAAAAUAUAUAAUGUAUGCCCUCGGAAGGGUAAAAAGAUUUUUAUUCAUAUGCAUGAGAUUAUUCAGAUAGAUGGUCAUAUAUACCAGUGCCUUGAAUGCAAGCAAAACUUGUGUGAAAACUUAGCUCUUAUUAUGUGUGAGAGAACCCAUACUGGGGAGAAACCUUAUAAAUGUGAUAUGUGUGAGAAAACCUUUGUCCAAAGCUCAGAUCUUACUUCACACCAGAGGAUCCACAAUUACGAGAAACCUUAUAAAUGUAGCAAAUGUGAGAAGAGCUUUUGGCAUCACUUAGUGCUUUCAGGACAUCAGAGAACACAUGCAGGUAAAAAAUUCUAUACAUGUGACAUUUGUGGCAAGAAUUUUGGUCAGAGUUCUGAUCUGCUUGUCCACCAGCGAAGCCAUACUGGCGAGAAACCAUAUCUAUGUAGUGAGUGUGACAAAUGCUUCAGUAGAAGUACAAACCUCAUAAGGCAUCGAAGAACUCACACAGGUGAGAAACCAUUUAAGUGUCUCGAGUGUGAAAAAGCUUUUAGUGGGAAAUCAGAUCUUAUUAGCCACCAGAGAACUCACACUGGGGAAAGGCCCUACAAAUGUAAUAAGUGUGAGAAAAGUUACCGACACCGUUCAGCCUUCAUUGUACAUAAAAGAGUUCAUACUGGGGAGAAGCCCUAUAAGUGUGGUGCCUGUGAAAAAUGCUUUGGCCAGAAAUCAGACCUUAUCGUGCACCAGAGAGUCCACACAGGUGAGAAGCCGUAUAAAUGCCUGGAAUGUAUGAGAAGUUUUACUCGGAGUGCCAACCUAAUUAGGCACCAGGCAACUCACACUCACACUUUUAAAUGCCUUGAAUAUGAAAAAAGCUUUAACUGUAGCUCAGAUCUUAUUGUACAUCAGAGAAUUCACAUGGAAGAGAAACCACAUCAGUGGUCUGCGUGUGAGAGUGGCUUCCUCCUAGGAAUGGACUUUGUUGCCCAACAGAAAAUGAGAACUCAAACAGAGGAGCUACACUAUAAAUACACUGUAUGUGAUAAAAGCUUCCACCAGAGUUCAGCCCUUCUUCAACAUCAGACAGUACGCAUUGGUGAAAAACCGUUUGUCUGUAAUGUGAGUGAAAAAGGUCUUGAGCUUAGCCCUCCCCAUGCGUCAGAAGCCUCACAGAUGUCUUGACCAGGCGAGAAGCUGUAAUACCAAUAUUAAAAAUUAUUUAUGUAUCAGAGAACUCAUUAAGAUGAGGACAAAUCUCAGACUUUGCUCAGAGCUCAGAAUUCAGUGGGGACCAGAGAGCCUGCAAUUGGAAAUAUGAGAAAUUCUUUGCCCAGAGAGCUGCCCUAACAGAACACUUCAUCCUCACUCCAACGAGAAAUCUACAGAUGCCCAGAGGUUUUGAAAACUUACCGUCUGAGCUCAAAUUUGAUCACUCACAAGAGGAUUCAUACAAGUGGGAAACCUUAGAAAUGCACUGAGUGUGAGAGAGCUUUCUACUAAUGCUCAGCCCUUCUCGUUGUAAGAGAAUUCACACCGGAGAACAACUUUUUAAAUGCCUUCAGUGUCAGUUGUGCUGCAGACAGUAUGAACAUCUCAUUGGACCUCAGAAAACCCACCCUGGGGAGAAGCCCCAGCAAGUGUGAAAAAAGCUUCUAACAAAACUCUGACUUACCCAUCAGAGAAGCCAUACUGGUGAAAAAUUGUAUAUUUGUCUUACGUAUGGCAAAAGCAUUCAUUGGAGAGCCUUACUUGGGUUUGCACCCAAAAAAAAAAACCCAAUCUGAGGAAAGACUGCAAGUGUCUGAAUGAAGAGUGCUUGUCAAUGAUCAACUCUUGUGGUACAUCAGGGAACUCACAUAGGUGAAAAAACCCAUACUUACCUUGAGUCUGAGAAAACCUUUGGUAGAAGCUCCUGUCUUAUCAGGCCCCAAAAAACCUGUUCUGCAGUGAGAGAUUUAAUUGUGGGUGAGAAUCUAUGUACAUAUGUAUGAGAAGACUGUUCUCAUAGUUAGUUGACUCAUAUGGUAGAGAGGACUUUACAUGAAAUCAGUAUGAAAAUAGUUUUUUAGAUACCCAGAAGCUUGUUCUGGGAGAAGCUAGGGCGGGUCAGAGUAGACCUGAUGGGUAACUCAGGUAAAGAUGCUUUUCUUUUAUCUGAACUACUUAAUGAUUGCUUUACUUUUACUUUUUAAAAAAUUCAGAAAUCCAAUAAAGGAAAGGACGGUAACCUUAUGAUAGAAGGUGUGGCAUGUGUUACUGUUGGGGGAAAGGAGUAUAUUGACUUUGCCUUGGUUGAUAUUUUUAUGCUUGUCUAGGAUGGGACUAGAGUGUUGAUAGUAACAUGGCAGCCUUUUGCUGGCAGUGAAAUGAACUUAAGAAGCUAGGGAGUAGCUAUCCUAGAUCAAAACUCUCCCAAUAGUUUUUCCUUUGCAGGACCAAUCUUAUAAAGAAACAGCAUACUCAGCUUUUUACUUAGUGUCAGUUGAGGCAUACUCUCAAAAGUUUUUUCCCCUAAAAUAUCUUUCAAGUUAUUACUGGUAUUUGAAAUUUCAAGUUUAGAAAUUCAUUUCUUUUUAACUCAAAGUGCAAAUUUCAUAUAAUGAUUAUGAUGGUUUUAGUGUCCAUAUUUUUGUGACUUCACUUAUCAUCUCUUUCAGCAGUAGCUACCCACAGUCAGCUCCUAGUAAAAUGGCUACAGGAAAACUGAAAGAAAAGUUUAAGCCUGAGUAGGCAUAGAGUAAAAAAUGCAUAAUGAUGCAUUAUUAAUAUAAGAGUAAGGCUUUUUUUAUUUUGAGUAUCCUAACUCCAAACCUAGUGUUCUUUUCACUCCAUUAUCCUGCUGUUUAUAGCAAAUCAAGACCCAUAAUGAUACGUCUUUCAUUUAUUUCAGUUCUGCCAAGGAAAGAGAAAAUACCUUUUAAUCCCAGGGAAAGGAUUGCAAUCACCACAUUAUAAGGUAUAUGGCGUGGAAUGCAGAAUUCUAAAUACUAGAAGGGAAAAGUAGUUGGCAGAUUCAUCAGAGGCUUAAGGAUAAGUACUUGUUUCCAAUUUAAAAGUAUAAUUAGGAUUGUCUUUAAUGUUCUCUAGAAAUACUAUAAUUAAUCUAGAGAUCUAUCAAUGGUCACAUCUCAGUUUUUUUCUUCCCUGAGAUUCAAAGACGUGUAAUACCAAUACUUCAGAUUCCUAUAGUAUUUGGGACUUUGUAGACUAGUGAAUAGAUACUUUGUUGCUAGUCCAAAUCCUCUGAUUUUGGUUUGAUUUGUCCUAGCAGAUCCCUGAACUUCAGAGAGUAUUGCCAUUUGGAUUCAUGGAGUUGGCGAACUGCUACACUGCUACCUUGUGUAUGGCUCUAAGCUUUGAUCCUAAUGACUGGUUGAUGAUCAUGAUAAUAUUAGGGCCAGUGAAUAUAGCUCAUAGUGAUAAUAAGGAUUCUAGGGUAUUUUUUUUUUCUUUUAGAAAAAGAUCCUGGAAGUUUAUUUGAUCUGACAUGUUUUUGUAAUAUUUAGAAAUAGCUCUUGUAUCAUAAAAAGUUGCCCAGUAUAAGACACACAAGAUGUAUUUUUUUCUCUGGUGAAAAUCAUGCCUAUCACUAGUAUAUGUUUGACAUUUGUAGUAUACUUAAAAUAGUAUUGGGUGUGAGGCAUGGUGGUGAUGAAAAGUAGUCCUUACGGCUACUUGUUAGUCAUUAGAGAGAACAUGGAGAAGGGGUCAAAGUUGGUAUCAUUAACAGGGCAAUGACUUGACCCUUCUUUCAACUGAUCUUACUGGUAGUUGUCUCUAGUUUUUAAGUAAAUUAAUGAUGGACCAUCCCCCAAACAGAGAACUAUGGGGGUAUGAAACAAGGCUGAAGGCUUUUAACCAUGGGAGAAAAAGGUGUUGGUAUUAUUCAUAUAGCAUAACCUGAGGUUGGAGAGGACCACUUGGGAGCCUGUAACCAAAACUAGAAGGUAACUUCUGGGAUGGACGGAGGUUCCCUUGAAGCAGUGCCAACCUAAAUCUACCUCAGGUAAGUAGUUAGAUUAACUUUUUCAAGAUUUCAGACCAAACAAGACAACUUGUAUUCAGUUGAUGUAUUCCUAUGCUUUAAUGUUUUUGUUUGCCCUUAAUUAUUAAAUAAACAUUUGUUCUGAAAAAAAAAAAAAA